AGCUAUCACUUCUCUUUGGUAGGAGGUUCUCUUCCAGCUCUGUGCCUUAAAUUAACCGAACAUGGCCAUGGUUCCAGAAAUUUGCCUGCCCUGAUCUGUUCACUAUGAUGAUUAUGUACAUGAUUCCCUGGUUCCAGAUCUGCACUCACUCCAUAGUCCAUCUGGCUUCUGACUCUGGCUCCAUUCCCAUUUUAUAGUUCUGCUCCUGUCCUUCGUACUAGACUUGGGCUAGGGCAAAUCAUGUAACAGUUAAGUUUCUUAAUUUAUCCUGAGGGAUCAGGGUAUAAUUUUUUCUGGAGCAUCCUGAGCCUGCUUUGGUUAAAGAUGCAAAUACUUCAAGCAGUAGCAUACAUCAGAAAGUUUUGUCAGACAAAAAGAUUACCAGCACCUUGGGAGGUCGAGGCAGGUGGAUCACCUGAGGCCAGGAGUUCAAGACCAGCCUGGCCAACAUGGUGAAACCCUGUCUCUAUUUAAAAAAUACAAAAAUUAGCCAGACAUGAUGGCAGGCACUUGUAAUUCCAGCUACUCAGUAGGCUGAGGCAGGAUAAUCACUUGAACUGGGGAGGUAGAGGUUGCAGUGAGCUGAGAUUGCACCACUGCACUCCAGCCUGGGCGACAUAGCAAGACUCUGUCUCAAAAAAUUAAAUAAAUACAUAAAAGAUUGCCAGACAGCCUAGUGGGUCAUAUUCAGGGUCUUGAGUAGACCUUCGUAUCCAGCCAAGUCAAUGUUCUAAUAGGAGCUUAACACACUUGUUUGGGAUUCACUUUAAGUAAAGCAACAUCUUGAUUUUUCAGAAUUGCUUCCAAUAAUUCUGAAACUCCCUCAGAUACUGUUUGUCCCAAGUGUCUGCCUAUUGUUGCCCCAUGAUGAAACCUUUUACUUCCAGCAGUAGUUAUAGGGCCAUGUCAGUCUUUAAGUAAAGACCCUCAGGCAUGAACGAACUUGCCCAUAAAUAAAUUCAUAGAUUCCUCAUACCUCCUGUAUACAUGAUGUGAAUUUGACUCUACAUAAGAAUAUGACAGAUUACAUCUGAACUGUGCCUAGCUCUCUUGUCAUUCUGCUGUUCUUCGUUAAGAACAUCAGGUCAUGGGAAAGUUCUAAGGCCUCUCAAGUUAGUAUAUCCAGGCUUUAAAGGCAGUGUUUACAGUGAACAGUCUCAUAUGUUGUUCAAUUAAUUAUUGCCAUAGACAACUUUCUCUGGAAAUAAGUGGACAGGCAGAGUUCAUCUUUAGUUGAUGUAAUAGCUCUUGAACAGUAGGUUCCUAUCUAACAUAUAUGCCUGGACAUGUUCUCCCAAAAUGUUCUAGUUCAGUUCAGAGUUCAGCACAAAUUCAGUUGCUGUUGCUGCUGCUGCUUCUCUUCCACUGUCCUUUCUACCUGUCAGUCUACACUGAAAAUUCAUCCGUCCUUUUACUGAGAAGGAGGCCAUAGCUACUAGGAGGUAUGAGUAUGUGACUGUGUAUGAAGUCUGAUGAAGCUUUCGAUGAACUUGGUUAGGUUUCUUGGAUGAGCAGUUCAAACUAGCUCAUCCCAGGGUAGUAGACAACACUGUGAUGUGCAUGGGAAGUCUCACAUCCAACCCACACCCAAUAACUAUGUGGGGUAUAAAGGCCUUGCCAUGUGAAAGGUUAUUCUAGCUCCAGGGCUUCCAGUGGGUUGGCUGAGUCUGUUGUUUGACUCCUCACUCUUCCGACUCCUGCCUCCUUUCUCUCCCUUCCACAGAUACUGAUCCCAUGGAUAUUCCUUAGUUCCAUGAUGAACU
rnacentral:lncRNA from 10 species